ensembl:lncRNA
GGCCAGCCGACGCCUGCCCUUCGGCCGAAUGACCCACCGCUGCCGCGCCGCCACCUCUGCACCUGCCUGGCUGAGGAAAGGAAAAGACUUUCGGGGGUUUAGAAGAAGACAAGUCUUCCGGCUUGCCCUUGGGGCCCGCCCCAAAGAGCGAAGGAAGCCCAGUGGGUACGUGGCGGGCGCCCUAUGCGUCUUGCAGGGAAAGUAGGCUGCAGACACGCGAGAGAAAAAACAACUACACUCCGCCUCUUGGCUCCACAAUAACCGUGCAGCGAAAACGGAGAGAAGGUCAGCCCCUCUCCAGGACUCAGCCCAACCUGGAUUCAGCUUCUUCGGCCGCACAAACUCCCAAGCUCUGAGAACACGCGGCGCACCCCGCGCGCCUCGCGGCGAAGGCACUCGGGCCACACUGCUGAGUUCUCCCCGUGGCGAAUGCGCUUCGCUUAAGGAAAGCAAUUGAGAGCCGGAAGGAGUCCAACCUAAUCGACCAGGCCUGCAGAGUCGCCUAGUUGGCCUGUCACAUAUCCACAGUCAAGAUCCUCGCUAUUCUCUGCCCAGAGAGCCUGGGAUUGACCCGGAAGCCCCGAAUAAUUCGAAUCCUAUCCUAGUUCACUCCAGUCCUGGCAGCAGAAGCGACCUGCAGCCUGAGAGCAGGGGAGGCUGACAAGGAGCCUCUGGCAGCUACUUGAGUAGGGACAAGGCGAUUUGGUGGUGUCUCCGAGGUUUAUGUGGAUAUCUGAUGACCCGACGUCCUGUCGGUGAUUAGCCACCCUCACCCACGCGCAGGAGCCUCGGGGCUCUGAUUCUAACGCCCGCGUGGAAUUGGUCAAGUCGAGGUUUCUCCACGCGCCCAGGACCAGCUAGGCGCUUCCCCGCUGCGCACCCCUCAAAGUUGAAGGGGAAGAUAAUUUCAAAUACACUGGUCAAAAUUCACUGUUGAGAACACUUUGAAGUUGGCUGUGACUGCGCCACUCUCUCUUGCUUCCUCCCCCAACUCCCCGCUGGACCAGAUGCACCAGAGAGCCGCGCUUUGAUCUUGCAAAGCAGCAAUUUAUAUUUCUUUAAAAUUUUUUUUCUGUAAAAAGAUGAUUGGAUCUGGGAGAAUAUAAUGUAAUUCCGCGAACGCAGGGCUGAGGAGAGAUUUUCUGGGCCGGCCAGGGCUGGGCCCGAG